GUGUCAGCAGCCGCGGUAAUACGGAGGGUGCAAGCGUUAUCCGGAUUCACUGGGUUUAAAGGGUGCGUAGGCGGGCAGGUAAGUCCGUGGUGAAAUCUCCAAGCUUAACUUGGAAACUGCCGUGGAUACUAUUUGUCUUGAAUAUAGUGGAGGUGAGCGGAAUAUGUCAUGUAGCGGUGAAAUGCUUAGAUAUGACAUAGAACACCCAUUGCGAAGGCAGCUCGCUACACUAUUAUUGACGCUGAGGCACGAAAGCGUGGGGAUCAAACAGGAUUAGAAACCCCUGUAGUCC
rnacentral:rRNA from 1 species